rnacentral:rRNA from 1 species
GUUGUAUGGUUAAGUGACUAAGCGUACACGGUGGAUGCCUUGGCAGUCAGAGGCGAUGAAGGACGUAGUAACUUGCGAUAAGCGUAGAUGAGGCAGUAACAGCCACUUGAGUCUACGAUUUCCGAAUGGGGAAACCCACUGGCAUAAGCCAGUAUCAUUGAGUGAAUACAUAGCUCAAUGAAGCGAACCGGGAGAACUGAAACAUCUAAGUACCCCGAGGAAAAGAAAUCAACCGAGAUUCCGAAAGUAGCGGCGAGCGAAAUUGGAUUAGCCCUUAAGCUUUACAUGUGUUAGACGAACGGUCUGGAAAGUCCGACGAUACAGGGUGAUAGUCCCGUAGUUGUAGAUGCAUGUUCAGUGAAAUCGAGUAGGGCGGGACACGUGUUAUCCUGUCUGAAUAUGGGGGGACCAUCCUCCAAGGCUAAAUACUCCUGACUGACCGAUAGUGAACCAGUACCGUGAGGGAAAGGCGAAAAGAACCCCUGUGAGGGGAGUGAAAUAGAACCUGAAACCGUGUACGUACAAGCAGUAGGAGCACCUUCGUGGUGUGACUGCGUACCUUUUGUAUAAUGGGUCAGCGACUUAUAUUCAGUGGCAAGGUUAACCAUCUAGGGGAGCCGUAGGGAAACCGAGUCUUAACUGGGCGUCAUAGUCUCUGGAUAUAGACCCGAAACCGAGUGAUCUAGCCAUGGGCAGGUUGAAGGUUGAGUAACAUCAACUGGAGGACCGAACCGACUAAUGUUGAAAAAUUAGCGGAUGACUUGUGGCUAGGGGUGAAAGGCCAAUCAAACUCGGAGAUAGCUGGUUCUCCCCGAAAGCUAUUUAGGUAGCGCCUCGGACGAAUACUACUGGGGGUAGAGCACUGUUAAGGCUAGGGGGUCAUCCCGACUUACCAACCCUUUGCAAACUCCGAAUACCAGUAAGUACUAUCCGGGAGACACACGGCGGGUGCUAACGUCCGUCGUGGAGAGGGAAACAACCCAGACCGCCAGCUAAGGUCCCAAAUUACAGCUAAGUGGGAAACGAUGUGGGAAGGCUUAGACAGCUAGGAUGUUGGCUUAGAAGCAGCCAUCAUUUAAAGAAAGCGUAAUAGCUCACUAGUCGAGUCGGCCUGCGCGGAAGAUGUAACGGGGCUAAGUUGUAAACCGAAGCUGCGGCAAUGUUCUUUGAACAUUGGGUAGGGGAGCGUUCUGUAAGCCGUUGAAGGUGUGUUGUAAAGCAUGCUGGAGGUAUCAGAAGUGCGAAUGCUGACAUGAGUAACGACAAGGGGGGUGAAAAACCUCCCCGCCGGAAGACCAAGGGUUCCUGUCCAACGUUAAUCGGGGCAGGGUAAGUCGACCCCUAAGGCGAGGCCGAAAGGCGUAGUCGAUGGGAAACGGGUUAAUAUUCCCGUACUUCUUACAAUUGCGAUGGGGGGACGGAGAAGGCUAGGUGGGCCUGGCGACGGUUGUCCAGGUUCAAGUGCGUAGGCU